rnacentral:rRNA from 1 species
AUGGUUAAAAUAGAUCUUGCUAAGGCCUUUGAUAGGAUCGAAUGGGAUUUCAUUGUUAAGGCGUUAACUCGUAAGGGGAUGCAUGCUCAUUUCAUAAAUUUAAUAUAUGCUUGCAUGGCUAUUCCCACCUCCUCUGUCAUCAUUAACGGUCAAUCUUAUGGCCGCUUUCAGAGUAGUAGAGGUAUCAGGCAGGGUUGUCCAUUGUCCCCUUAUUUGUUUGUCUUGGCCAUGAAUGAGCUAUCAGCAUCUUUGUAGGAAGCCAUGUUCGCUGACCACUUAUCAGGAAUUACUCUGGGACCAGGAUGCCCACCUAUUCACUCCUUAAUAUUUGCUGAUGAUUUACUGAUAUGUGGUCAUGCCAUAGUUACAAAAGCUACUCAUAUGCACCAAAUCCUUCAAAGCUUUUGC